CUUUGAGAUUUCCAUAUCAGUUUCUUCCACGUCUUUUGCUUGGCCUAUCAGUGAAGGUAGAGAAAAGCAAAAUGAUAAAGUUUGAUAGAAUUUCCUUCUCGAUGGUUCAAAACGAUCUUUUCCUGGUUACAAACAAGCCAAAACUUCUCAGUAAUCAAUGCCAAAUUGAAUCCCUUGUCUAAUAAAAAAGGAAAAACAAACAAACACCAAAAUCAUUUGCUUUAAAAAAAAUAAAAUUCCCAAAGUCUUAUCCUAUUGUAAGUAGAAAAAAACAAACACCACAAUAUAGCUUUAUUUUGAAAAACCAAAAUGACAAAGUGCAGUCUUUCCACUCUGCUGCUAAGUUACCCAAUACAGAGCGCCCCCAUGCAGCCUGAUUCACUGCAAUCAGAAACCCUCAACCCUUCCUUUUUGCAUUCAGUCAGUUCAUUAUUGCUGAUGUACCUGAUAUUAUGGCACGGCUCUUUGUGAGAGCAGUUUCUUCCUACACCUACCACCCUCACUGAGCUUUGCAGCAGCCGAAAAUACCUUUAAUCAAUUGAAUAGGCCUUUCCACAAAUCUGAUGGCUGUCUGUGAGGAUGUUUAAUUGAAUUAUUUCGUACUUGUGGAAACUGAUUAGGCGAAGUACAACCUGCUGAGAGUAAAGGUCACUUAGGUAAUGAAUUUUUGUGCUGUGGCCUCUUGAAAUUAUUCAAGUUUUCUGCCAUGUUUGUUAUUAAAAACUAUUAUUAAAAUUAUAAUCUUUGUUUUUUUUAGACCUUUUUCUGGAGUUGGUUUCAGAGGGACACAAGUAAUUGAAACGCCUGCGGCGAGGUGACGCGCUCGGCGUGGAGCAGCUUGACCAGGAAGAUGCUGCGUCUUCAUCGCUGGAUGGCGUGAUUUCAAUGGAUGGUAGCUGAAGGUACUCCUUGGAGCUGGAGCGAGAUCUGGCCGUCAGUUGGCUCGUUCAUGCUCCUGCACCUGGCCAUGGACUCUGGCUCGUCUCGUGCCCCCAGCUGUCCCCCAACUCCAUCUGGAUGAAGCCCAUCUGCUGGACUAUUUGAACAUGUAGUUGUAGAGUUUGAUACGCUAAUUACUCUCUAAUAGUCACCGCCUGUGCGCCCUGGUAGAGGAUCGCUCCUUCAUGUCCCUGAGGUUUCUUCUUUUCUUCCCAGUAUCCGUUUUACCGAGGGUCUAAGGGCAGGGAUGCCCAGUUGAGCCUAAUCUGUUUCGUUUCGUUUAGCCAUUACCUUUUGAAUUCUACGACUUCAUGUUCUUAACAAUUUCAUGUUUGUUAUACAAUUACUGGUAUGAAGUCCAUUGAGAUGAAUGUCGUUGUAAUAUUGGGCUAUAUACUGUAUAUAUAUAUAAAAAAUAGAAUUGAAUUAAAUAUGACUUGACCGGCAUGGAUCUGUUCCACAAUACACACAUUUGGCUAGUUACUAAAUACUUUUCCAGCUUUCAUUGCUCAAACUUCUCUGCUGACAUUUCUCAAAAGUUCUUUCAGCAGACAUCCAUCUUAUUGAAUCAGAAAACUUAACAGCCAUAUCAACACACAAGCCAUCAGUAUGUUUACUUCCUGCUUACAGAUGUUAUCUAAAUGUUUUUGAGUGUAUAAGCCAAAAUCAUGUCUGUCAAUUUCAUACGAGGUACUUCAAAAUCAAUAGAGGCACAAUAUAAUACGAUUAGACAUGGUAUAAACCAGCACAAAGAAAAGACUAUAUGGCAUUGUAUCGCUCAACAAUCAAUAAUUCUCUAAAAGCCUACACCA